CACGUAGGGCGCAAGCGUUGUCCGGAAUUAUUGGGCGUAAAGAGCUCGUAGGCGGUCUGUUGCGUCUGCUGUGAAAACCCGGGGCUUAACCCCUGGCUUGCAGUGGAUACGGACAGACUAGAGGUAGGUAGGGGAGAAUGGAAUUCCCGGUGUAGCGGUGAAAUGCGCAGAUAUCGGGAGGAACACCGGUGGCGAAGGCGGAUCUCUGGGCCAUUACUGACGCUGAGGAGCGAAAGCGUGGGGAGCGAACAGG
rnacentral:rRNA from 1 species